GACUGUCUAGGGUGCCAAACAACAGAAAGGGAGAGAAACAGACAGACAGAGCCAUCCGGUAAAGCCAGGAGUUCUGCUCCGUCCAGCCUGCAAGCAUCUUACAUAAAAAUGUCAUCCGUAAGAAGUCAUGGAAGAAGCAGCAAGCAAAAUCGAUGCCUAUGACAUCACGUUGAAGAGAAACAGCCUAACUCUUGCCAUGGGGGUUUUAGAGAUUAGUAGAUGUUUGUCAUAAUUUUUUUUAAGCAUGAAAUCUCAUGUUUCUUCCCAGUCUGCCUUCUCCCACUCCAUGGCAACCAGCGCCAUGGAGCUCCACUGGUUCUUCCUUUGUGGUGGCGCUGUCUCUGCAGCUAUCAAGGUGUUACUUCUUGAUCCGUCAAUGCUGAAUGAGGAGACAUCCUGAGUACAACGGACAUGUCUCAAGCUAAAGGCCUUAAUGGAAGGACUGUUUCACACCCUUCCUAUGGAUCUUCCUGCUUGCUCAUGAGAAAGACAUCGCGGCUCCUGUGAACACCUCACUGCAAGUCCAGGAUCCAAUCAUAUGAGACCAGCCAGCCUCCUACUCCUGCCACUGUGUUUCCCCUGCUUGCUGCUGUGUCUUCCUCAUCACGAUGGACUGCAUCCCUCUGUCACCGUAAGCCAAAUAGACUUUGUCCUCUAUGAUGCUGCUUUUUCGUGGUAUUUUAUCUGGGCAAGAAGAAAGUAGCUAAGAUAGCUGUCUUUAAGAAUGUUUUGUUGUAUUAAGACACGACCUCCUCAUAAGGUAUAGACUGGAUA